AUGCAAGCGGCCCAAAAAGGCACAUUGAUGCCACAUUGCUGCCGUUCAACAUCUCCAGGAAAAGCUGAAAUCAUUCCCGGGGGUGCGCUGUGGUGUGCAAAACAGGGACAUCACAAGACGCUUCACUCAUUAGAUGUUUUGGAUUACAAAGGAAACAAACAAGCUUCUGUUAAUGAGUACAACAACCUUCAUCUCAGGAAAAAUAACAGAGAUGCGAAGGAAGAACUAUGGAAAAACCUACUAGAGGUACUAACAGCCGUUCAGAAGAGGUUACGCUUCUCUGACAUGGUUAGCUUCACCAGGAACCAUCACCAAGCACAGCAAACUGAACUGAGCAGCCAAUUUGGAUGUAAUGCCACUGAUCAAUUAGUAUUUGCUAAAGGGGAGCAAACAGCGCCACCACGAUGA
rnacentral:rRNA from 1 species